AACGAACGCUGGCGGCAGGCUUAACACAUGCAAGUCGAGCGCCCCGCAAGGGGAGCGGCAGACGGGUGAGUAACGCGUGGGAAUCUACCGAGCCCUGCGGAAUAGCUCCGGGAAACUGGAAUUAAUACCGCAUACGCCCUACGGGGGAAAGAUUUAUCGGGGUUUGAUGAGCCCGCGUUGGAUUAACUAGUUGGUGGGGUAAUGGCCUACCAAGGCGACGAUCCAUAGCUGGUCUGAGAGGAUGAUCAGCCACAUUGGGACUGAGACACGGCCCAAACUCCUACGGGAGGCAGCAGUGGGGAAUAUUGGACAAUGGGCGCAAGCCUGAUCCAGCCAUGCCGCGUGAGUGAUGAAGGCCUUAGGGUUGUAAAGCUCUUUCACCGACGAAGAUAAUGACGGUAGUCGGAGAAGAAGCCCCGGCUAACUUCGUGCCAGCCGCCGCCGUAAGAC
rnacentral:rRNA from 1 species